rnacentral:rRNA from 1 species
GACGAACGCUGGCGGCGUGCCUAAUACAUGCAAGUUGAGCGCUGAAGGUUGGUACUUGUACCAACUGGAUGAGCAGCGAACGGGUGAGUAACGCGUGGGGAAUCUGCCUUUGAGCGGGGGACAACAUUUGGAAACGAAUGCUAAUACCGCAUAAAAACUUUAAACACAAGUUUUAAGUUUGAAAGAUGCAAUUGCAUCACUCAAAGAUGAUCCCGCGUUGUAUUAGCUAGUUGGUGAGGUAAAGGCUCACCAAGGCGAUGAUACAUAGCCGACCUGAGAGGGUGAUCGGCCACAUUGGGACUGAGACACGGCCCAAACUCCUACGGGAGGCAGCAGUAGGGAAUCUUCGGCAAUGGACGAAAGUCUGACCGAGCAACGCCGCGGGAGUGAAGAAGGUUUUCGGAUCGUAAAAAUCUGUUGGUAGAGAAGAACGUUGGUGAGAGUGGAAAGCUCAUCAAGUGACGGUAACUACCCAGAAAGGGACGGCUAACUACGUG